CGUGACCAGGUGAUCCGCCGGCCGCCCUUCGUGGGAAGGCCGACGCGGAGGCGUGCGCGGUCUCGAAAGAGUUUCCUUCGUCCUGUCGUCCGCGGCGGAAAGCAGGCCUUUUCGAACAUCUGA
rnacentral:rRNA from 1 species